GGGUUGUGAGGUUAAGCGACUAAGCGUACACGGUGGAUGCCCUGGCAGUCAGAGGCGAUGAAGGACGUGCUAAUCUGCGAUAAGCGUCGGUAAGGUGAUAUGAACCGUUAUAACCGGCGAUUUCCGAAUGGGGAAACCCAGUGUGUUUCGACACACUAUCAUUAACUGAAUCCAUAGGUUAAUGAGGCGAACCGGGGGAACUGAAACAUCUAAGUACCCCGAGGAAAAGAAAUCAACCGAGAUUCCCCCAGUAGCGGCGAGCGAACGGGGAGCAGCCCAGAGCCUGAAUCAGUGUGUGUGUUAGUGGAAGCGUCUGGAAAGGCGUGCGAUACAGGGUGACAGCCCCGUACACAAAAAUGCACAUAUUGUGAGCUCGAUGAGUAGGGCGGGACACGUGGUAUCCUGUCUGAAUAUGGGGGGACCAUCCUCCAAGGCUAAAUACUCCUGACUGACCGAUAGUGAACCAGUACCGUGAGGGAAAGGCGAAAAGAACCCCGGCGAGGGGAGUGAAAAAGAACCUGAAACCGUGUACGUACAAGCAGUGGGAGCCUCUUUUAUGGGGUGACUGCGUACCUUUUGUAUAAUGGGUCAGCGACUUAUAUUCUGUAGCAAGGUUAACCGAAUAGGGGAGCCGAAGGGAAACCGAGUCUUAACUGGGCGUUAAGUUGCAGGGUAUAGACCCGAAACCCGGUGAUCUAGCCAUGGGCAGGUUGAAGGUUGGGUAACACUAACUGGAGGACCGAACCGACUAAUGUUGAAAAAUUAGCGGAUGACUUGUGGCUGGGGGUGAAAGGCCAAUCAAACCGGGAGAUAGCUGGUUCUCCCCGAAAGCUAUUUAGGUAGCGCCUCGUGAAUUCAUCUCCGGGGGUAGAGCACUGUUUCGGCAAGGGGGUCAUCCCGACUUACCAACCCGAUGCAAACUGCGAAUACCGGAGAAUGUUAUCACGGGAGACACACGGCGGGUGCUAACGUCCGUCGUGAAGAGGGAAACAACCCAGACCGCCAGCUAAGGUCCCAAAGUCAUGGUUAAGUGGGAAACGAUGUGGGAAGGCCCAGACAGCCAGGAUGUUGGCUUAGAAGCAGCCAUCAUUUAAAGAAAGCGUAAUAGCUCACUGGUCGAGUCGGCCUGCGCGGAAGAUGUAACGGGGCUAAACCAUGCACCGAAGCUGCGGCAGCGACGCUUAUGCGUUGUUGGGUAGGGGAGCGUUCUGUAAGCCUGUGAAGGUGUGCUGUGAGGCAUGCUGGAGGUAUCAGAAGUGCGAAUGCUGACAUAAGUAACGAUAAAGCGGGUGAAAAGCCCGCUCGCCGGAAGACCAAGGGUUCCUGUCCAACGUUAAUCGGGGCAGGGUGAGUCGACCCCUAAGGCGAGGCCGAAAGGCGUAGUCGAUGGGAAACAGGUUAAUAUUCCUGUACUUGGUGUUACUGCGAAGGGGGGACGGAGAAGGCUAUGUUGGCCGGGCGACGGUUGUCCCGGUUUAAGCGUGUAGGCUGGUUUUCCAGGCAAAUCCGGAAAAUCAAGGCUGAGGCGUGAUGACGAGGCACUACGGUGCUGAAGCAACAAAUGCCCUGCUUCCAGGAAAAGCCUCUAAGCAUCAGGUAACAUCAAAUCGUACCCCAAACCGACACAGGUGGUCAGGUAGAGAAUACCAAGGCGCUUGAGAGAACUCGGGUGAAGGAACUAGGCAAAAUGGUGCCGUAACUUCGGGAGAAGGCACGCUGAUAUGUAGGUGAAGUCCCUUGCGGAUGGAGCUGAAAUCAGUCGAAGAUACCAGCUGGCUGCAACUGUUUAUUAAAAACACAGCACUGUGCAAACACGAAAGUGGACGUAUACGGUGUGACGCCUGCCCGGUGCCGGAAGGUUAAUUGAUGGGGUCAGCGCAAGCGAAGCUCUUGAUCGAAGCCCCGGUAAACGGCGGCCGUAACUAUAACGGUCCUAAGGUAGCGAAAUUCCUUGUCGGGUAAGUUCCGACCUGCACGAAUGGCGUAAUGAUGGCCAGGCUGUCUCCACCCGAGACUCAGUGAAAUUGAACUCGCUGUGAAGAUGCAGUGUACCCGCGGCAAGACGGAAAGACCCCGUGAACCUUUACUAUAGCUUGACACUGAACAUUGAGCCUUGAUGUGUAGGAUAGGUGGGAGGCUUUGAAGUGUGGACGCCAGUCUGCAUGGAGCCGACCUUGAAAUACCACCCUUUAAUGUUUGAUGUUCUAACGUUGACCCGUAAUCCGGGUUGCGGACAGUGUCUGGUGGGUAGUUUGACUGGGGCGGUCUCCUCCUAAAGAGUAACGGAGGAGCACGAAGGUUGGCUAAUCCUGGUCGGACAUCAGGAGGUUAGUGCAAUGGCAUAAGCCAGCUUGACUGCGAGCGUGACGGCGCGAGCAGGUGCGAAAGCAGGUCAUAGUGAUCCGGUGGUUCUGAAUGGAAGGGCCAUCGCUCAACGGAUAAAAGGUACUCCGGGGAUAACAGGCUGAUACCGCCCAAGAGUUCAUAUCGACGGCGGUGUUUGGCACCUCGAUGUCGGCUCAUCACAUCCUGGGGCUGAAGUAGGUCCCAAGGGUAUGGCUGUUCGCCAUUUAAAGUGGUACGCGAGCUGGGUUUAGAACGUCGUGAGACAGUUCGGUCCCUAUCUGCCGUGGGCGCUGGAGAACUGAGGGGGGCUGCUCCUAGUACGAGAGGACCGGAGUGGACGCAUCACUGGUGUUCGGGUUGUCAUGCCAAUGGCACUGCCCGGUAGCUAAAUGCGGAAGAGAUAAGUGCUGAAAGCAUCUAAGCACGAAACUUGCCCCGAGAUGAGUUCUCCCUGACUCCUUGAGAGUCCUGAAGGAACGUUGAAGACGACGACGUUGAUAGGCCGGGUGUGUAAGCGCAGCGAUGCGUUGAGCUAACCGGUACUAAUGAACCGUGAGGCUUAACCUUACAACGCCGAAG
rnacentral:rRNA from 1 species